rnacentral:lncRNA from 1 species
UGGCUAACUUCGGCCUCAUUGGGGUCGUGCGCUAGGGGGGUGGUGUGGUGCGUGCAGGAAGCACGGGCGCUUGCAGAUAAGUGGGUGUUUUUUUUCUAUUUUUUUUCUUUUGUUGCGGCCAACUUUUCAUCGUCUGUCAUUGAUAUCGAGCACCUACAAGACAGCAUCUACACAAAUCGGAGUGAUAUCCGAUGGAGACUCUCCGAUACUUAAGUCAGAGGAAGU